ensembl:snRNA U1 U1 spliceosomal RNA
AUACUUAACCUGGCAGGGGAGAUACCAUGAUCACGAAGGUGGUUUUCCCAGGGCGAGGCUUAUCCAUUGCACUCUGAAUGUGCUGAACCCUGCGGUUUCCCCAAAUGUGGGAAACUUGACUGCAUAAUUUGAGGUAGUGGAGGACAGCGUUCGUGCUAAA